rnacentral:rRNA from 1 species
CCCGUCGCGGCGGGCGCGGGAAAUGUGGCGUACGGGAGGCCGGACCCACCCGGCGUCGCUCGGGGNCCCAAGUCCUUCUGAUCGAGGCCCAGCCCGCGGACGGUGUUAGGCCGGUAGCGGMCCCCGGCGAGGCGGGACCCGGAMUCCAMGGAGUCGGGCUGUUUGGGAAUGCAGCCCAAAGCGGGUSGUAAACUCCAUCUAAGGCUAAACACGGGCGCGAGACCGAUAGCGGACAAGUACCGUAAGGGAAAGUU